UACGGAAGGCAGCAGUGGGGAAUAUUGCACAAUGGGCGAAAGCCUGAUGCAGCUAUGCCGCGUGUAUGAAGAAGGCCUUAGGGUUGUAAAGUACUUUCAUCGGGGAGGAAAAACAAAACUAAUAAUUUUAUUUCUUGACGUUACCCGAAAAAGAAGCACCGGCUAACUCCGUGCCAGCAGCCGCGGUAAUACGGAGGGUGCUAGCGUUAAUCAGAAUUACUGGGCGUAAAGAGCACGUAGGUGGUUUUUUAAGUCAGAUGUGAAAUCCCUGGGCUUAACCUAGGAACUGCAUUUUGAAACUGAAAUACUAGAGUAUCGUAGAGGGAGGUAGAAUUCUAGGUGUAGCGGUGAAAUGCGUAGAUAUCUGGAGGAAUACCUGUGGCGAAAGCGGCCUCCUAAACGAAUACUGACACUGAGGUGCGAAAGCGUGGGGAGCAAACAGGAUUAGAUACC
rnacentral:rRNA from 1 species